rnacentral:rRNA from 1 species
AACGCUAGCUACAGGCUUAACACAUGCAAGUCGAGGGGAAACGACAUCGAAAGCUUGCUUUUGGUGGGCGUCGACCGGCGCACGGGUGAGUAACGCGUAUCCAACCUGCCCACCACUUGGGGAUAACCUUGCGAAAGUAAGACUAAUACCCAAUGAUAUCCCACGAAGGCAUCGGAAUGGGAUUAAAGAUUUAUCGGUGAUGGAUGGGGAUGCGUCUGAUUAGCUUGUUGGCGGGGUAACGGCCCACCAAGGCAACGAUCAGUAGGGGUUCUGAGAGGAAGGUCCCCCACAUUGGAACUGAGACACGGUCCAAACUCCUACGGGAGGCAGCAGUGAGGAAUAUUGGUCAAUGGGCGAGAGCCUGAACCAGCCAAGUAGCGUGCAGGACGACGGCCCUAUGGGUUGUAAACUGCUUUUAUAAGGGAAUAAAGUGAGUCUCGUGAGACUUUUUGCAUGUACCUUAUGAAUAAGGACCGGCUAAUUCCGUGCCAGCAGCCGCGGUAAUACGGAAGGUCCGGGCGUUAUCCGGAUUUAUUGGGUUUAAAGGGAGCGUAGGCCGGAGAUUAAGCGUGUUGUGAAAUGUAGUGGCUCAACCUCUGCACUGCAGCGCGAACUGGUCUUCUUGAGUACGCACAACGUGGGCGGAAUUCGUGGUGUAGCGGUGAAAUGCUUAGAUAUCACGAAGAACUCCGAUUG